rnacentral:rRNA from 1 species
UUGAUGGCGACCGGCGCACGGGUGCGUAACGCGUAUGCAACCUACCUUUUACAGGGGCAUAACACUGAGAAAUUGGUACUAAUUCCCCAUAAUAUCUGAGACGGCAUCGUUUUGGGUUGAAAACUCCGGUGGUAAGAGAUGGGCAUGCGUUGUAUUAGCUAGUUGGUGAGGUAACGGCUCACCAAGGCGACGAUACAUAGGGGGACUGAGAGGUUAACCCCCCACAUUGGUACUGAGACACGGACCAAACUCCUACGGAAGGCAGCAG